UCCAGGUCCUGAUGUAACACUGAUCCAGGUCCUGAUGUAACACUGAUCCAGGUCCUGAUGUAACAAUGAUCCAGGUCCUGAUGUAACACUGAUCCAGGUCCUGAUGUAACAAUGAUCCAGGUCCUGAUGUAACACUGAUCCAGGUCCUGAUGUAACACUGAUCCAGGUCCUGAUGUAACACUGAUUCAGGUCCUGAUGUAACAAUGAUCCUGGUCCUGAUGUAACACUGAUCCAGGUCCUUAUGUAACACUGAUCCAGGUCCAUAUGUAACACUGAUCCAGGUCCUGAUGUAACACUGAUCCAGGUCCUGAUGUAACACUGAUCCAGGUCCUGAUGUAACAAUGAUCCAGGUCCUGAUGUAACACUGAUCCAGGUCCUGAUGUAACACUGAUCCAGGUCCUGAUGUAACACUGAUCCAGGUCCUGAUGUAACACUGAUCCAGGUCCUGAUGUAACACUGAUUCAGGUCCUGAUGUAACAAUGAUCCUGGUCCUGAUGUAACACUGAUCCAGGUCCUGAUGUAACAAUGAUCCAGGUCCUGAUGUAACACUGAUCCAGGUCCUGAUGUGACACUCAUCCAGGUCCUGAUGUAACACUGAUCCAGGUCCUGAUGUAACACUCAUCCAGGUCCUGAUGUAACACUCAUCCAGGUCCUGAUGUAACACUCAUCCAGGUCCUGAUGUAACACUGAUCCAGGUCCUGAUGUAACACUGAUCCAGGUCCUGAUGUAACACUGAUCCAGGUCCUGAUGUAACACUCAUCCAGGUCCUGAUGUAACACUGAUCCAGGUCCUGAUGUAACACUGAUCCAGGUCCUGAUGUAACACUGAUCCAGGUCCUGAUGUAACAAUGAUCCAGGUCCUGAUGUAACACUGAUCCAGGUCCUGAUGUAACAAUGAUCCAGGUCCUGAUGUAACACUGAUCCAGGUCCUGAUGUAACACUGAUCCAGGUCCUGAUGUAACACUGAUUCAGGUCCUGAUGUAACAAUGAUCCUGGUCCUGAUGUAACACUGAUCCAGGUCCUUAUGUAACACUGAUCCAGGUCCAUAUGUAACACUGAUCCAGGUCCUGAUGUAACACUGAUCCAGGUCCUGAUGUAACACUGAUCCAGGUCCUGAUGUAACAAUGAUCCAGGUCCUGAUGUAACACUGAUCCAGGUCCUGAUGUAACACUGAUCUAGGUCCUGAUGUAACACUGA